UGUCAACAUUAAAGAAAAUAGAUGUAACCAGAAAUAAGCUAACAGACUGACUUAAGAUAACGAUAGGAGGUUUACAGGAAUGAAAUGAUAUAACCGUUUGAAAUUCAGUAGUACUCUGUUUCAGUACUGAAGUAUAAGGGAAAUGUGCACAAUAAGUUUAUAUAAUAUGGGUUAAAGGUCACCUGAGUGUUUUAACUAAACACACUAUCGAUAUUGAUCAGUUUCUUAUCGGUAUCGAUUGCGUUGUCGAACAGUUUUGGUUGGUGUAUGUGUCUUGUGUCUGUGCUUCUGUUCCCAUUGUCUGUGAAGAACACAACCUUAAAAUAACUUCACACCACAAAUCACCAGAGCUUAAAACUAAUUAAAAACAAGUCAAACUCCGCCCACCAGGGUUACACGUCCAAACCAACACGUAUGUUUUCAUGAAUAUAUUUAAAAAUCCAGCAUUUCCAAACGGUGCUGCUGUCUUUCAGUCUACAUCAAAGCUCGUCCCGUUCUGCUCCUAUUUGGGUCUUAUUUUCGCCUUUUCUCACAAUCCUGUUUUGUGGAGGAAUGCAGGCCCGGGCCAGCUGUGUGUCCUAUCCCGGCCCAGCUGUGUUGAUCUAACGCGCCAGUCCCAGACAUGCUGGCGCCAGCCUCCCGACGUCAUCCAUUCACCCCGACGCGCACUCUGGGCUCUGGCAGCCGGCCCGCCUCCUCCCCCCUCCUCCCGUCCUGCGGAGGAGAAGAGAGGAGCAACAGGCGCUCGGAGAGCCCAUUGGUUAUCCGACACUGUCACUCAGGCAGAGUGGAAGGCUCUAAGCUCCGCCCACUGCUCGCUUCUGCAGAUGCACUCUGGAGAAAUGAAGACACACUUCUUUCCAAACACUCACGGAACUUGUGUAAUGAGGAAAGAGCAGCAUGACUCGAUGAAAAUGAAUAUAAACCAACACAGAGGUUGAGCUCAGUGACUCCACAGGUUUAUAUCACCGUUAAUAAAUCACUCACAGUCAGCGGCAAAUCCAGGAAACUCCGUUGGUGGACGUUAAACACAUCUGCUGACAUUUUCCAGCGUUUUAAAAACUACAGCAUUUUGAAAUUUUAAGUAAAAAAAAAAAAGUCGUGCUCCCUGAAUUAGAAAACGGAAAUAAUUGAUUAUUAAUGUCAAUUGAUCAUUGAUUAGUCACUUAAUAAUCAACAUUUCAUUCCUGAAUUCAAAUGCAGAUGUUUCCAGGGAAUUACUCAGGCUCACGGGAAAAAUAUCUGGUUAUUAUAUCAAAUCAAAUCUUUCUUUUUUAAAAUUAGCUCUGCUUUUGUUUGUUAUUGGUCGAGUCGUUGGAUGGACGGUUGACAGGAUAGGAUUAGCUUUAUCUUUAAAUCUGAAUUACUGCCACCUACUGGCUUCACCUUCACCCACCUCACCAAGUUAAAAAAGAAAUGUUGAAAACACAGACAGAGGGCAACAUCCCUGCAGGUGGUAACGACAGCAUCCUCUGGUUGAACUACUUUGUAUGACGUGUGUUAGAGCUUAUAACAUAUACCUGAGUGCUGUAUGUCUGCCCACUUUUACUCAUUUUAUUAUUUUAAAACCAAAUACUAGAAGUGGCUGAUGUGCACUAACACAGAUCGUCCUGUUUUCAGUGUGUCACUUGGCCUGGAUGCAACAGUAGUUUUUUUUUUUUUUUAAAAAAAAGCGGUUUUCCAACUCUGCUGGUGCCAGCCCGUGCGCGUCACGACUAUUUUGCAACCCCGUCUCACGCACUCGGAAUCAAGGAGUGGAACUUUCUAUUUCUGGUAAAUGUGUUGUGAAACUUUUGCUGUUAUGAUUUUAGGAUUUUAACACGAUGGGCCGGGACGAGUUCGCUGUAUUCUUAUCUUCUUUCUGGACAAACGCACCGAGCACGGACUGAGACGCAUCCUCCCUGUUCACGCAGAGGUUUAACAGAUGUUGGAGUCGGCCGCGCGCGCCCCGCGCACACGAACACACACUCGCUGACCCGUCGUGACAAACCCAUCAGCUCGACCUCACUUACGAGCAGACCACAGUAUUGACCCGUGAGAGCAGCUGGACUUUGGUCCAGAACUAUUUUAGAAUCACAGUAAAAUGUGUGAGCUGCAGACUCUGACCUCAAAUACAGAACCGACAUCAGCCUGAACACGCGAGGAAUGAUGGGAAAAUACAAUCAGCGUUUACAUUAUGAUUAUUAUUAUUAGCACCAACAUGACGAUCCAUGAGAAUAACAUGAGUUCCCUUGUCUGACAUGCAUAUGACAGAGCAUGGCUGCAAGAUUCCAGAGUUUCCGCUGCAGGAAUCCACCUGAGGUGCUCACCAGUGACACAUAAAGAUUUCAAGGGUCAAUCUGUGCUGCCGGACAACUGACCUUGAGUGAAACCAGUACGCAAGGGCACCAGGGUUCACGCUCUACCCCCAACUCUCCCCCAGGCCGCAGAUGCACUGACCCAGACAAGGCUGCACUUCUCUGGGCAGCACAGAGACAUUGCUGUGCUCCGGUUCCUGGAGCCAUGAUGCUCUGAUUGAGACCCUGCGUCCAUGCAGGAACCAGAGGGAGGGGAGGGAAGAGAGGGCAGAGCUGGGGAGGGUACGCAAACACAUCUGGCAUCUGUAGGAAAAAAAAAAACCCUGAACACAACUCCCAUAUCAUGUGAGAAAAGUAUGCACCAUACAGGAAGGCAAAGUCGGCUUCGUCCGCUUUAAAGAUGCCGGAGAUCUGUGAUAUUUAAGAAGGAAAUAAAAACGUGGGAACUUUUUACAUCUCAAAUUACACUCAAAAACUUUACUACUGGAAAUACAGGGGAUACAGUUAGAGAGUUGUCAUGACGAGGAAGUGAAGCACAACAGAGUCAUUAAGCAACACGACAUAACAGAGAUCUAUACUGUAUAUCUCACUUUGGCUAAACUUGGACAUGAAUUCUUUAAAGUCUUAUAAAGCGAGGGCUACAGCAGUGGUUUCCCACCUUUUUUGGCUUGUGACCAUAUUUUGACAUCACACAUUUCUAGCGACCUCCGAGACAUUUUUGUUUUAGGCAUGUCACAGCAGCUGUCAAUCAAGAUGAACCAGCUCAGAUAUUUUCUAUAUGCUGCAUUUUCUUUGAACUUGAUUCAUGUUCACGAGAGAGAGGAAAUAGAGUUGUUAAAGAUGUUUAAAAUUUUAAAAAGAAUGAUAAUUGGUGUAAAACAUAUUUUUAUCAAUAAUGCUUUUUCUAAAAUUACUAGACAUUUACAUCGACACCAUUUGAAUACCAGCUGGCCCUACUUGGGGUCUUGACCCUAAGGUUGAAAAACACAGGUACAGUGUAAAUAAGACAAAAACUGCCGAGACAUCUGACCAACGUCUCAACCUAAAAAUAUGACACGUAGACUUUUUAUACCCACUGUAAACAUCUGCAGAAGUUACACACGGCCGUAGACAUACAGAACUUCAUUUCUGUUUCUGCUACAGUGCAGAUAACUAAUUACAGGAGGAGCGGGACAAGAAGACACACCACGUCUCCAGCUGGGAGGACAGCACCAGAGGAUACCACUCUGCUGUUGCUCUAUUUUUAAAGCGCACCGAACAAUGCUACGUUGGUGUCUCACAAAAAAAUACAAAAAACAAAUUGUUUUCGCUGCAUCUUAAGAAGAAUAACACAAAGCUGCUUUCAGUGGCCCAAUGGUAUAGUACAGUAUAUACACAUACAGUGUAAGAUGUAUUGGAGCUGUCACUGGGGAAGAAAAAUGAAAAGCUGUGAAAGGAGGACACAACAGAGAACAGAUCAGAGUGCACGAAAUCUGUGUGGGUGCACGUCUCUGCAAGGUGUCUUUUAGGAGGGUUUGUUUCUGUUGCGUGGGCGAUACCUGCUGCAUUAGGCAGCGGUACAGGGCCAACACAGAGUGGUUGUAUGUGUCUGCGUUGGUGUGUGUGUUUGUGUGUGUGUGUGAACAUAUUUGGGUAUAAGUGCAGAACACUUUUGAUAAACACAGCACCUCCCUGUUUCAUAGAAAUCCUGAACCACAUCACACGUUUCUAUAACUCUAACGUUCCCUAUGUUCAUGAGUAUGUUGACAGACUAGUCUCUAAUAUCUCAGAUGAAUAUGAGACAAACAGUAUUUCAUAAAAGGUGCAAGUUGGAGCACAGGGUCCAAACCUUUAGUGGGGCAAUAUCUGGUAAUGAUAUAAACUUAUGGGGCAAAUGCUCCUGCUGUGCCAAAAAAACAAAACAAAAGAGUGGGGUCAACAAAUACACAAAAGAUACCUGGAAGAUAGAUUAUUUUUAAAUUGGGUGAUAAAUAAAUUAAUAUAUUAAUUUUAUUAUAUUGUCUAUUUAAACAACACAAAUAUAAAUAGCUGACUGAUAACAAAAGUUUGACCCAAAAAAGUACAAAAUCACAGAAAAAGGCUAGACUUUAAAAAAACAACUAAAAUGUUAAUAAAUAAAUAGCCAACCAAAGGAGCUGAAAAAAGCCAAGAACAUAUUCACAAGUAGUGGCAAAGGUUGAUUUACCUGAAAGACAGAUGUUAAAUGUUAACCAAAUAAAACUAAACACAGUAUAACGUGACUAAACAUUAGAACAUGUAAACGUUAAGUCAAAACAGAUAAAUGUACAGCCCAAACGUAGCAAAAAUGAAACUAGCUAAAAUAGCUAAUAGCUAAUAAAUAGCUAGCCCAAAAUAGAUAAUUCUUAAGUCAAUUACCCAUCAGUUAAGAAAACACUUACUUUGUUAGUCAGAAUGCAGUCAAAAGAUAUUCAAAAAUGUAUUAAAUUAGUUGCUAGGUAUUAGGCCACAAAGAGCUAAACAUUAGGAAAAACAAAAUUGAAUGAGACAAAGUUUCAAAACAACUUAGUGUAAUACUCAAAUCUGACCAGCAGGAGUACAUUUUGAUUUCUAAGAUACAGAAUAUAAUAACAUGGAGAAGCCAAUUAUAUGGCCCCAGGCCUUAUUCUUGGACAUGUCCUGUUCAUUUCAACCAUAGUUCAGUAAAAAGGAUUUACAGACCUCUGUCUCCAUUAUAGCAGAACCCCUCUGAGCUACAUGAGUAUAAAAGCAUUUUCUUUGUACAUCUUUGCACUGGAUGAAACUGUAGCCAUUGAAUUGAAGGGUCCUCUCAUGUACGCAUGCAUACACAAACACUGAAGCAGAACAAGCCUCAAUGCAGGACUAGUAUGCCCACCGGACCUACACUAUUGUUUGCUGAGGGGCCUUUAGUGGCUCCACAGCUGGUAACAAAGAGUUCAUAUCUCACAGCAGAGCUUCCUACUGACCUGAGAUCAGUCACAAAGAAAAGACAGGGCCGCUCAGAGGAACAUGUUGACUAUUUUACUGCACUUACUCUGUCACAACAGGAAUGUUGAUGCAGAAGUCUGACCUCGGGUCCAAUCAUGGCCACAAUUACCUGAGGGUUUGAUUAGAGUUCAGGCCAGCUUUGAUUAUUAGCUUAUUUAGCCAUAUCUAGCCCACAGUUUUACCAUCUUUGGCCGACCUGGAGUACUUAAGUCAAUGUCUUGGAUACAUUUCUUGCCUAUUUUUUAUUUAGAUGAUACGGACUGAUGCUACUUUGAGCUAAGUUUAUUAAAUAAUUGUCAAAUGCACUGUCCUAGCAUUCAAUUAUUAUACAUUUAUUUAUAAAGUCUUGCGAUCACCUAAGGUAUACAUAGUUCGCUUUUCCUAAACUGUCUCAGGCUACAUUUAUGCUAGUUUUAUGCAUGUACUUAAUUUUGUUUGAACAAAUACAUUGCUAAUUUUAAUACGGA